rnacentral:rRNA from 1 species
UACAGAGGGCGCGAGCGUUGUCCGGAAUCACUGGGCGUAAAGGGCGCGUAGGUGGCGGCAUAAGGCCGUGGUGAAAGUCUGGGGCUCAACCCCAGAUCGGCCAUGGCGACUGUAUCGCUAGGGUACUGUAGAGGCAGGUGGAAUUCCGGGUGUAGCGGUGGAAUGCGUAGAUAUCGGGAGGAACACCUGUGGCGAAAGCGGCUCACUGGACCACAACUGACGCUGAGGCGCGAAAGCUAGGGGAGCAAACAGG